CCACCACUAACACCAUCUCCUCCUCCUCUCUGCAACAAGAAAAAAAAAAGCCAUUUACAGGUAUUUUUUUUUUUUUGAUCCGCAUAUUUAUUUAUCCUCCCCCCCCAACAGUUUGUUUACAAGUAUUAAAGUUGUAAUUGGGAGCUGCCAAGACACAUCUGGAUUUGUGUUUCUUUGUGUUAGGGGGUGAUGUGCAACUAAUUAAAGGCAGACUGGCAGCGUCUGCAAAUUCUAAGGCUCCCCAAAUAAAAAGAGACUGUUGUAACAGUUGGAGGAUAAUGCAAAGGAAGACGCUGCCUGGGAAUUCACCGUCUGUGGACAUGCGCCCCAGAGAGGAAUAAAGCAGUCCUCACCUUGCUCUCCCCACCCAGACCCACUUUCCCUCCCGCCUCGGCCCCCACCCCGACACCACCAUCACCCC
rnacentral:lncRNA from 1 species